GCCUGCAUGAUCCACAUAUGCAGAGAAGCCAGAGGUGACAUACGAGACCACUGCGGUCCCCCUAGUGCACCCAAGCCCAGCUAUCUCAGAGACAGACUGGCAGGAGACAACUCUCAAGAGCAAGGCCCCUCAGUGAUGGGGGCUGGUUGUGCAGCCCAGAAGGCUCUGCCCCUGGUGGCUGCUGCCCAGCCCACAUUCAAACAGAGGAAAGCCAGAUUGGGGGGGGGUGGCGGGGAGGGGAAGCCUAGCUGGGCCAGCCUCUGGCAUCUAAAUACACAGAAUUCUGAUUGCUAACCUAACACAGACAGCUCCUAAUACAGAUCUUAAAGCAAAGGAGCCACAGAAAAAUGAAGGAUGGCCUAAAAAAGACCCUUCUUUGGACUCAAAGCCACUGAGCAAGGAGAGUAUGAUUUCUGAGACCAAUCAAAAGGACUCAAGUUCAUCUACAUGGAGGCUAAGGAGGAAGCCCAUCAGGAGGCUCUUAAACUGGGCUACCAAGCAGGCAGAAGCAUCUAUCCAGCAGAAGGCUAGCAAGUUUGAUCAGGAUAAAUACAAAUAUCAGGAAAUUCAAUUCAAAAUAUGCUCCCCACUAAAAUACUGUAUGUUUUUUUUUUUUUACCAGAAUUAUUCACAAUUACACAACAAUCACCCUACAUUCUCAUUUCCUGACCUCAGUAUAUGCCACUUUCGGCUGUAAAUACAUCCAAGCAGCUCUUGCCCAGGAACGCACCAAUUCUGGGAGAAGAAAGAAGUGGCCUCUGAGAAGUCCAUGCGGAGCCCGCGGAGGGCGGUGUGAGCCAGCUUCUCCAGCGGCCUGUCACAUGACUGGUCCCAGGACAUUGGCAUCUCUGCUGUGUGGUGUGUCAGCAAUUCCACAGCAUGGAAGACUUGCCUGCCUGUGGUGCAGGGGCACACAGCUGCCAUUAUAGCGGAGGAAUCUAACGUUAUUUACAUUUUUAAAUCUGUAUUUUUAUCACAGCAAGAAAUGUACACAAUUUUUUAUUCCAGUGAUACCACAAGUCCUACAAUGAGAAAGAAGAGUCUUCUGACACACUAUCCUCACCACUCAGCUCCCUGGCCAGAGGUGGCCCUUUCAGCUCUUUUUCUGAAAUUCGUCUCUGUAUUCUUAAAUGCUACACCUUACAAGGCUUCUUUAAAAGUUUGCAGUUUUAAACAUCAUCAACUGACUUCUUAUUUCAUGGGGUUGGAACCUAGCUGCCUUCGCUCAACAUCUCCACCUUCCACUUCCCCUCCCUCACUCCCAUGCUCUUAAUGGACUUCUAGUAACAAUCUGGGGCCCAAUGAAUAGUUAAUGGUUUCACUAUUAACAACCAUGUGAAUAUGGUUCAAGAGUGAACCGUAUAAUAUACUGUAAUUGUCAUUUAUUUGUAGUACGAUGUAUUAUUUCUCUGGAGGCAGCAAGUAUACCACAUAGUGUUGACACAGUUGUCCAUCUACCUCACCUCUUCUUAAAUUCUCUGGGCAAAGCUACAAAAUUCCUCUCAAUAUAGACAAAGAUAUCACAUAAUGUUUUUUGCUUUUUGUUUUUCUCAUCAAUAUCUCUCCAGAAGGGCUACUGGCGCUACCCCAAAGCCUACCUGGACAGGCUGUUCUCCACACACACAGGCUCUUUCCACCACAAGCUGAGGAUUCUCUGUGACUCUCCUGUGGGGGAUCCCCUGUUUCUUGAUUUCCAAAUCAUUUUUUCUUGAUUUACUUUUUCUUUUGAUUAAGGACUUAAGAAAAACUCCAAGGGAAAUGUAUCUUUGAGAGCUUGCCUGUCUGAAAUUGUCUUUAUAGCAUCUGACCCAGUGAACUAUAUAUAGGAUUCUAGGAUGGAAAUCGUCUUCCCUCAGAAUUUCAAGGACUUGCUCCUCCAUUUUCUAGACACCAAUGGACAGUUGAAUAGCAUCCAAACUCUUAUUCUCUGUAGUAGAGAUUUCUCCCCUUGUGAACAGUUUUAGGGUCUUGUCUUUAUCCUUACCCUUGAAAAUCCAAGCUGAUGUGCCUUGGUGAAGGACUUUUUCACUCAUUGUGAGCUGGGCCUGUGGUGGACCUGAUGCAUCAUAUCUUUCAUUUCUGAGAUUUUUAUUUAAAUGACACUUUGACAAAUAUUUAUUCAUCCUCACAAAGAAUUCCUUUUACUAGGAUGUUGGGUGAACCUUGUGGAUGGAUCAUUUACUUUUCCUGUCUUUUUCACUUAUUUCUUUGUAUUUUUACUCUAGCUCCUGGAGAUUUCCUCACCUUUAUCUUAGAAUAGUUCCUUUGAUUUUUUUUUUUUUGCACAUUAAAUUUCAUUUUAACUGUUUUCUUAUUCUGAAACCUAUUUUGAUCAAGUCGUUUUCAUUUUUAAAUAUUAAUUUUUAAAAAUAUUUUAUUUAUUUAUUCAUGAGACACAGAGAGAGAGAGAGGCAGAGACAUAGGCAGAGAGAGAAGCAGGCUCCCUGCAGGGAGCCCAAUGUAGUACUCAAUCCCAGGACCCCAGAUCAUGCCCUGAGCCAAAGGCAGAUGCUCAACUGCCGAGCCACCCAGGUGCCCCUAAUUAUCGAUUUUAAAGCCUAAAAACUUACAAUUGCCACCAACAAGCCCACAAAAUAUUAUUUUCCUUUUGAAGCUUUUAUAAUACAUUGUUUUCAUCAGCGAACUUUUUCCUGUUGAACAAAUGACUCAAAUUGUCCAUCAGAACACACAGUGUCAAGUUAGUUCUACUCCAGUGGGACUUGGAGGCAGGUGUGGGAUAGAAUGUUCUUUUAGCCUCUGAGUUUUCUGGACAGACAUUUUGACCUUGCUACGUCCAUUGGCCUUCUUGUUAACUGUCUACAGACACUCAGAACUACAGACGCUCUCACAUCCCUGCCAGUAAAACUCUCCCUGGGAAGAUGAUCUGGAGAGCCCUGCCAGGAACCAUGCCAAUGUUGGCAUCAUCACCAGAUUUCAAGACUUCAUGCCUCUUCCAGCUUCUAACCAGAUCAAUCUUCUCCUUACAAAGAACCAAGCAACAUGGCUAUGCAGCCCUAGGGUUUAUCCAGUUCUGAUUUGGCUUAUUUGGCUCAGGGUUGUCAUCUGUGCAGGAAAGCUGGCAGCUUCCAUGGGAGAAGAGGGACAAGCAUGUGAAGUGACAUGUAAAGUGAAGCAUUGAUAGACAUCUCCUUGGUUGUGAGUUUAACUGGGUAAAGGUUACUAUCAUGUGUGCUCUUAGAAUGUCAGUCUCCACUUGACCCACAGGGACAGCACCAAAUGCCUUGGAGGAACACACAGAGGCCCUGUCAGUAGGAAGAGGUCCUUAAUCAGCCCUGGUGGCUAUUCUCACAGUGACAUCUCAUCCUCAUUAGUACUUGGCUCCCACAUGUAACAUAAAUGAAAGUAACAUAAAGGCUAGAUGGGUUGUAGAAUUUUUUUUAAUGUACAUCUGACUUCUUUAAUGAUUUCCUCAUAUCUCCCCUGCUUAUUGUCCCCUCAGGUCGGUAGCCACAGAUUCAUCAACAUCACACCAACAAUCAGGAGAGUCAACCUGAGAUGUGGGUAUGACCAUGUUUUGAUAAAGGUAGAGUCUCUUUUGUUAAAGUGUUCUGAUGUGUGGCAGGCCAAAUAAUGUCCCCCAAGAUGUCCACACCCUAAUUCCUGGAACUGUGAAUGUGUUACAUUAAAAGUAGUGAACCCAGGGGAUGCAGGUGGGGGUUUGGGGUAACUGAGUGAUGGGCAUUAAGGAGGGCACUUGAUGUCAUGAACACUGGGUAUUAUAUGUAAAUGCUGAAUCACUAAAUUCUACCUCUGAAACAAAUAAUACACUAUAUAUUAACUAACUUGAAUUAAAAAAAAAGAAGUAAAGACCCCAGCAGAUGUCAGAGAGAUGAGAAGAUGGUAAAAGAGGCAGGAGAGAUUAGAAGACUGAGAGAAACUUAGCCCAUCAUUAUUGGCUUGAAUAUGUAGGAAGGAGGCCUUGAGCCAGGAAAUACAGGCAGCUUCUCGGUGCCGGGAUCGGCCCUCAGCAGACAGCCAGCAAGGAAAUGGGAACCUGGGUGCCACAAUCACAUGCAAUUGAAUUCUACUAAGAACCCUAACGCUCAAGGAAAUGGAUUUUAGGGGAUCCCUGGGUGGCACAGCGAUUUGGCACCUGCCUUUGGCCCAGGGCGCGAUCCUGGAGACCUGGGAUCGAAUCCCACAUUGGGCUCCCGGUGCAUGGAGCCUGCUUCUCCCUCUGCCUGUGUCUCUGCUCCUCUCUCUCUGUGUGUGUGACUAUCAUAAAUAAAUAAAAAUUAAAAAAAAAAAAA
rnacentral:lncRNA from 1 species